UUAUCUAGCUCUACUAGGACUUAAAGGAAGAGCAAGUUGAACAUUUCCCCUUCCCAGACUCCACAGAUUCCUCAGAGGAAGAGUACCUUGUGCACAGAUUAUGUAGAGUAGAAGAGUCUGGCAAUCUGUUGUGUGUCCCUUCAUUCAUAAAUUUAGGAAAUUAAUAAUUUAAUUUAUUCCACAAUCACAAUUUAACAAAUCCUUCUAAUGCUGAUACUGCCUUUCUUAUGUUUUUAUUUCAUUCUUUUAAUCUAACCUCUUCAGGUUCCUUUGAUGAUCCAGAGGAUGAGCUACAUCACUGAAAGCACUGUCUGGAAAUUAUUAGUGAAAUGCUUUAGGAGACUGACUUGCCAUGAAGCCUAAUGCAUGUGAAGUAGCCUGCACCUCUUGUCACGACCAUGCGUUGAUAGCUCAGCUCAUGCCUCUGUCUUAAUGGAGCACGUUUCCAGACUCGGACAAGCACCUGAAGAACAAACUGAAAAAGCUAGUUUAUAAUUGUCAUUUUCUGAUGGCAAAGCUACGAAAAAAAGUGGCAGUGCUGGGUGUUCAGCCAACUGCUAACUAUAACCAUGCUGGAAAGAGGCUGAACCACAAGAGCCAUGUUUAAUUUGCACAUCGAAGGAGGCCGCUGAGAAUGGGCUGGGGAAACCUCGAGAAAACACAACACUAUGAUUUCAUUUACAGUUUCAUUGUAAAAGAAGCCUAAAAAGUCACUGCUGAAAGUCAGCUUUGCCUGGUGAUUUUUCUCUUGUUGAACUGAGGGUGAUGUAGCACAGGGCCUAAGCGACAGGAAGAGAAAGGUUUGGAAGGUGACUCACUACCUUUUUCACAAGCAGAGGCAAGCACUUGGUAAUUAUGGGGAAUAUGAAAUUAAUACUUAGACAGCCUCAUAGCUGCCUUUUAAUAAUAAGUAAGACUACUUCGUCUGGUGGCAUAACACUGUACAUUUGAAAGAGCUGUCCUACAAGGAGACUGCAUUUUCCCCAGCAAUGGAAAGAUGCUGAACAGUCAUCACAUAGCAAUACAUGUUCUGAGUUUCUGUGCUUCCUGCUCAUAACAGACAUGAAAAGGAAAAAUCAAGGCUAAUAACAAGUUAGUAAAGAAGGGAUUCCUACCUUAAGGCCUCUGAGUGCUUAGCUCAAAUAUAAUUAAAAACAAGAGUUUAAAGGAAAAAAACAGCCUUGUCCAGUAAGCAGAACAAUCAUAAAUUUAUCCUGUCUGGGAAGACACAACCUUUCCAGAGUAUCUGAAUAUAAUUAAAGAAAGCACCUAGCAACCCUGCACACACUUCAAUAUGUUUGGCCACUGGCUCCAAGCAGUUCAUAUGUCAGGAGAAAGGAGCCUGGGCUGCUUACACGUGUAUGUGGAAAAUUUUCGCAUGUGUGUGGAAACAGUUAAAAAUCACUGGAAGUCCAUACCCAUCUUUUCAGGGUGAUAUCAUGCCAGUGUUGACUCUUCUUUCAACUCAUCUGAUCUUAGUCACCACACUAACAGGUAGGUCAACAGGCAACACCACAGAUUUGCCUGAUACUUUUUCAGUUUUGCAUGCCACAGUGGUUCUGUGUUUGCUGUCAGCCCUAUCAGAGGCAAGCAGUGAACACAUCUUUCCAAGUAGUGUGGCACUGCUGAUUCACAGCGAGAGUGCUGCACACUGUCCUCUUGCCAUUCUAGGCACAACCCACACUCCACAUAGCAGCCCCAUGUGCAGGGCACUACUGCUGGUUGCCUGGAGAAGUUGUGGAUGCCCAAUCCCUGGAAAUGUUCCAGGCCAGCUUGGAUAGGGCCCUGAGAAACCUAAUCUAGUGGGUGGCAUUCCUGAUUAUGGCAGGGCGUUGAAACUAAAGGAUGUUUAAGGACCCUUCCAACCCAAAUCAUUCUAUGAUUCCAUGAUUCAAUGAUUUUCAAUAAUGCUAGAUGUGAACCCCUGGAAUGAGAUGUGAAGGCCAUAUCUUCCAACAUUUUCAAGUUGAAAGAGUUGUUUCUGACCAUACAUUAAAUUUGUUCCCAUAUUCAAUUGACUGAUAGGGGAAGGAAGACAAAGACACCUCUUUGAAACCCUGGGAACCCUCUUGCCUCAAACCAGUUGCAACAGGAUGGAUGCCAUCAUACGGGUGAACGCCUUUAGAAAUGUUUUAGCUAUUCCUCAGAUUCUUCUGAUUGGCUUCAACUGCUUGAUUCCCACUUCUGAGUGCCAAGCAAGU